rfam:Cariama cristata contig21678, whole genome shotgun sequence.
CAAAAGGCUCCUUUAGGGGCCACUGAUUAUGUCAAAAACCUAAAG